GGUUUAGAGGCUCAAGUGAGUGCUAAGGAAGAUGAGGAAGUAGAGGAGGUUACCAGUAGUGAGAAGAAGGAGGAAGAGAAAUAAAGAGAGGAUUUGGAAAAGGCAGAGGUGAACCCUUGGAAAGAGAUAUCGAUGGAGAGAGUUGGGAGAAGUCCUAAAUCUCAGCCAAGUCAGGAAAUAAUUGCUACCCCCUCCAGGUUUGCAGCUUUAAGUACUGCGAAUGAG
rnacentral:lncRNA from 1 species